GACGUAGGGCGCGAGCGUUGUCCGGAAUUAUUGGGCGUAAAGAGCUCGUAGGCGGUGUGUCGCGUCGGCCGUGAAAACCUGCAGCUUAACUGUGGGCUUGCGGUCGAUACGGGCAUCACUGGAGUUCGGCAGGGGAGACUGGAAUUCCUGGUGUAGCGGUGAAAUGCGCAGAUAUCAGGAGGAACACCGGUGGCGAAGGCGGGUCUCUGGGCCUUACCUGACGCUCAGGCGCGAAAGCGUGGGGAGCGAACAGG
rnacentral:rRNA from 1 species